rnacentral:tRNA from 31 species
GUCCCCUUCGUCUAGAGGCCUAGGACACCGCCCUUUCACGGCGGCAACAGGGGUUCGAAUCCCCUAGGGGACGCCA